CAAUAAGUAAAAACUACUUUCCAUUGACCACCGCAAUACAAGUGGAGCAGUCACCAUCUGGUGUCUGCACACUGUCCUUGUUAGACUUAAACUAAAAAAAUUGAAGUACCACCAGUGAUUCUGGUGUCUAUUGCAUCUCCCUACAGGCUUUUCAUUGAAAAGGCAGUGUUUAUAUUGCUGCCUAGUAACACCUCUAGUGGCAGUCACUCAUUUUGCCGCACAUGUGCAUAUAGACUGUAAGUUCGUUUGAGCAGGGUCCUCAUCUACCUGUUGUUCCUGUAACGUUUCAUUAUUGUCUCAGUUUUUUAAAUUUCCAUUUUAAUGUAAAGUGCUGCGGAAUUAGCUGGCGCUUUAUAAAUACCAAUAAUAAUAGCAGCCCGCCAAUGAUUUCCUAUGGGAAAGCACGUAUUGGCUGAGAUCAUCAAGAUUGAUGAUCUCAGCCGAGGAGGCAGGGCCAGCCGCUGCGAGUGGGUCUCAGGAUCCCACUCCUGUGGCGCUGAAGGGGAAGGAGGGGGUUAAUCCCUUACCUUUUUUUCAGCGCCGGUCUCCCUCUGCGCUGGGACUCUCCUCCCUCUUCUGACGUCCCGGGCUGAAUGCGCAUGCGCGCAUUCAGUUAGUCCAUAGGAAAGCAUUCGCAAUACUUUCCUAUGGACGCUGGCGUCUUCUCACUGC